rnacentral:rRNA from 1 species
GACGAACGCUGGCGGCGUGCUUAACACAUGCAAGUCGAACGGAAAGGCCCUGCUUUUGUGGGGUGCUCGAGUGGCGAACGGGUGAGUAACACGUGAGUAACCUGCCCUUGACUUUGGGAUAACUUCAGGAAACUGGGGCUAAUACCGGAUAGGAGCUCCUGCUGCAUGGUGGGGGUUGGAAAGUUUCGGCGGUUGGGGAUGGACUCGCGGCUUAUCAGCUUGUUGGUGGGGUAGUGGCUUACCAAGGCUUUGACGGGUAGCCGGCCUGAGAGGGUGACCGGCCACAUUGGGACUGAGAUACGGCCCAGACUCCUACGGGAGGCAGCAGUAGAGAAUAUUGCACAAUGGGCGGAAGCCUGAUGCAGCAACGCCGCGAGCGGGAUAACGGCCUUCGGGUUAUAAACCGCUUUCGCCUGUGACGAAGCGUGAGUGACGGUAAUGGGUAAAGAAGCACCGGCUAACUACGUG